UUAAUAGUCUGCAGUAAGGUGAACCUGCGGAAGGAUCAUUAU
rnacentral:rRNA from 1 species